GAGAAGGUGGCUCAGUGGUAGAGUGCUUGUCUUGCAUGCAUGAGGUCCUGGGUUCGAUUCCUCAGUGUCCCA
rfam:Dipodomys ordii contig_28502, whole genome shotgun sequence.